rnacentral:rRNA from 1 species
AUUGAACGCUGGCGGCAGGCCUAACACAUGCAAGUCGAGCGAGCGGCGGACGGGUGAGUAAUGUCUGGGAAAAUGCCUGAUGGAGGGGGAUAACUACUGGAAACGGUAGCUAAUACCGCAUACCAUCAGAUGUGCCCAGAUGGGAUUAGCUAGUAGGUGGGGUAAUGGCUCACCUAGGCGACGAUCCCUGGCUGGUCUGAGAGGAUGACCAGCCACAUUGGAACGGGGACACGGUCCGGACUCCUACGGGGGGCGGAAGUGGGGAAUAUUGCACAAUGGGCGCAGGCCGGAUGCAGCCAUGCCGCGUGUGUGAAGAAGGCCUUCGGGUUGGAAAGCACGUUCAGCGGGGAGGCGUUACCCGCAGAAGAAGCACCGGCUAACUCCGUGCCAGCAGCCGCGGUAAUGC